CCCUUGCGCAUUCGUCAGGCUUUCUGGAAGUCCCGGCCUGCCCUGCGGCAGCUUCAGGCCGCGGGCUCUGGGAAAUUUGACCAGGUGGCUGAUGGCAGGUCCUGACAUCUCAGAGAGGUUGGCAACUUGGAGGUCCCCCACCAGCUCUUCAGACUCUCAUGUUAUUGGCAACUGCUGGGCCUCACUCACAAGCUUUCAGCCAGCUCUGGGAGCUGUGCUUAUGAUGGCUGCAGCCCAAACUACAUUCAACGAGAAGAUCCUGGAGCUGAAGCAAUUCCCGACACGUCUUCCUUUCUGCAUGGGAAGAUCCAAGCCUGGGUGAGGGGGCAUCAUCCAGGAAGCGUUGAGAAGGCAGUGACCUUGGUGCAGCAUUUAGAGUGAGAACCCAGAAGACGAAGGCAAUGAAGCCGAGCCGAGGACGAGCAGCAGGACUGCAAGGAGGCUGGGGCUGAUGAUGGUGAAAGCGAGGAUUCGCCUGUGAUGACGUCAGCGAUGACAUGGGCACAGUCUCACCCGGGACCCCAGCAGUCCUGGCUGUUCCCAAACUGACCGCUGGUGUGCACAUCCGCCUCCUCGCAGGGAAACGCAAGCACGUCCUGAUCCAGCCAUGCAGACUCGGGCGCCAGCGGGCUGCUUCCUGCUCUGGCCACAGUCACAUUCAGGCUGGCAUUCCUCUGACCCACACUCCUCCGUUACUCGUUGCCUCUCCCAGAUUUCUGACCUGGAUUUCAGCCGCCUUCUUCCCACAGAAUCUCCCACAACUGAAGCCUUCAUGUUUCUUUUCCUUCUCCUGUGCCUUUCACACCCCGCUUCUCCC